ACGCAUGAUUAUGACGUCAAAAUGCGCAACGUGGUCAAGUUUCUGGACAACGGCGACAAGGUAAAGAUCACCCUGCGCUUUCGCGGCCGCGAGAUGGCUCACCAGGAUUUGGGUCGCCAGCUUUUGGAGCGCAUCGCGGCGGACAUCAAAGAGAUCGGGCGCGUUGAAAACAUGCCCAAGAUGGAAGGCCGCCAGAUGAUCAUGAUCAUCGGCCCCGGCCCGAAAUAAGGCCAGCCUCCACCUUGGAAAUUUCAUGACCCCCGGCCACAUGGAUCGGGGGUUUUGCAUGCCCCCUUGCGCCGCGCCGCCAGUCGCGUA
rnacentral:misc_RNA from 1 species